UGUUGGUGAGGGUGCCACACUCCACGCCGUCGAUGUGCCACCGUCUACCCUUCCUCAGUCUCUGCCCACUCCCUUCCUGGUUCUUCCCAUCCUUCAAUAGAUCCGGCCACCUCCUAGUUGCAUUCACGCCAUGUUCUCCUCACGCUUGAGGCAUCGCUGCCAUUCGCCAUCCGUAUUUCAAUGCCCAUCACCCUCACACUCUACCCUCUGGAUCCGCUGCCACCGAUCCCUCCGGUGACGUUCUCUUCUCCACCGACCUCUCUGUUGCCGAAUCAGGCACAGCUGACAGCCCAUCUGCCAGAUCACUCAUCAUCGACCCCCAUUUCAAUGGAUCUGCCAUCAACAACCAUGGCCACACCAUCGUCUCCGGCAAAAUGCGUUGACUUCUCGCGCUGCCUAACCAUCGAGGCAGUCUGCGCCGCGCACGUCCUCUGGGCGCAACAGCACCGUCCCCUCACGAUUGUGUUCCAAUCCCACGUCACUGACGAACUCGCCGUCGACAUCCACCCCGCCACCUUGUUAGGAAGGAAAUCCUCCUCUUGACCAAGCCACUGGUGUCGUCAUCUGGGAAAUCGUCGUCGUUGGUGACAACAUCUCGAUCCUCCACCCCAAGAUUGGAGCCAGGGCUAAGAUUGGGGCUGUAUCAGCGAUUCUGAUUGAUGUGCCGGUGAGGAGCACGGCGGUGGGCAACCUCGUGAGGCUGAUUGGUGGGAAGAAGGCCAAGGGCAAGAAGGACGAGGACAUGAUUGGGGAGUCCAUGGAUCACACGUUCUUCAUACGGAAGUUGUCGGACUACAACAUUUGAGAGCAAUUUUCCAAGGCAAUUGUUCAGUCAGACAGUUGUAUUUUCACGCCUGCAACUUGAAUGCAAAACUAAAGAGUAUACAUUGGAGGUUUCAAGUUCAGUCAAAGUUCUAAUAUAAGCUUCAACACAAGAAAAAGGAAGAAGCCCUGCAGCACAGAAGACUAAAAUUUCAGGACUUUCUCCUUACUUCUGCACCACAUGAGCGCACUGCAUCGCCAGACUUCGCCUCCAUUAACGUUUUGACAUGAUCACUCUCCUUGCCUAAGAUAUGCACAACAAGUGUAAGCUGGCUGAUUUGGGCAAUUCUUCAUAACAUAGCUCGUUCCCUUGCAUCAAUGGCAAACAAUCUUGGUCGAACGGCAUGUAGAAGCAACCGAAAAAGAGCUCUUGGCCAUAGCUUGCACACUGGUAGAUUUGCUUAUCUCGAGAGUGUGAGAUGGUGUUGAAGGUGCUACUGAAUGCACCCUAAUCGAGAAGGGGGAAUCUAACUGUGUAGCUAAAUGUGGGCCUAUUUUGACUUGUCUCGGCGUUGAUUUUGAAGUAGUUGAGCUUUCAAAAUUGUUCUUUGACCUCUGUUAUCGUCCCUGCAACUCUUUUUCUGCCAAACAUGUAAGCUGGAACAAUCUAGGAACACCAUCGUAUUCUUUGUAAUCAUAUAUGUCCUGAAUUUAAU